rnacentral:rRNA from 1 species
CAGUAGCCGCGGUAAUACGAAGGGUGCAAGCGUUAAUCGGAAUUACUGGGCGUAAAGCGUGCGUAGGCGGUUUGUUAAGUCUGUUGUGAAAUCCCCGGGCUCAACCUGGGAAUGGCAAUGGAUACUGGCAAGCUAGAGUGUGUCAGAGGAUGGUGGAAUUCCCGGUGUAGCGGUGAAAUGCGUAGAGAUCGGGAGGAACAUCAGUGGCGAAGGCGGCCAUCUGGGACAACGCUGACGCUGAGGCACGAAAGCGUGGGGAGCAAACAGGAUUAGAUACCCCCGUAGUCCCUGUCUCUUAUAC